CGGCGACGUGGGCGGUUCGCCGCCGCCGACGUCGCGAGAAGUCCACUGAACCUUAUCAUUUAGAGGAAGGAGAAGUCG
rnacentral:rRNA from 1 species